GUGAGGAAUAUUGGUCAAUGGACGGAAGUCUGAACCAGCCAUGCCGCGUGCAGGAAUAAGGUCCUAUGGAUUGUAAACUGCUUUUAUUCGGGAAUAAACCUCUUUACGUGUAGGGAGCUGAAGGUACCGAAGGAAUAAGCACCGGCUAACUCCGCGCCAGCAGCCGCGGUAAUACGGAGGGUGCAAGCGUUAUCCGGAAUCAUUGGGUUUAAAGGGUCCGCAGGCGGGCUAUCAAGUCAGAGGUGAAAUCCCACAGCUUAACUGUGGAACUGCCUUUGAAACUGAUGGUCUUGAAUUAAGUGGGCGUUGGCGGAAUAUGACAUGUAGCGGUGAAAUGCAUAGAUAUGUCAUGGAACACCGAAAGCGAAGGCAGCUAACGAUACUUAUAUUGACGCUCAUGGACGAAAGCGUGGGUAGCGAACAGGAUUAGAAACCCGGGUAGUCC
rnacentral:rRNA from 1 species